rnacentral:rRNA from 1 species
ACGGCUGAGUAACGCGUAGGAAUCUGCCCUAAAGUGGGGGAUAGCUCCUGGAAACGGGAGGUAAUACCGCAUGUGCCUUGCUUGCAAGGUAAAGGAUUAUUCGCUUUAGGAUGAGCCUGCGUCCUAUCAGGUAGUUGGUGAGGUAACUGCUCACCAAGCCUAUGACGGGUAGCUGGCCUCAUGAGGGUGGUCAGCCAGAGGGGGACUGAGACACGGCCCCCACUCCUACGGGAGGCAGCAAUCAGGAAUAGUCGGCAAUGGAGGAAACUCUGACCGCGCAAUGCCGCGUGUAGGAUGACGCUUUAACGAGUGUAAACUACUGUGGAAUAGGAUGAAGGCGUAAGCUUGACAGUACUAUUCUAGAAAGGGGCCGCUAACUGCGUGCCAGAAGCGUCGGUAAUACGUGGGCCCCAAGCGUUAUCCGGUGUUACUGGGCGUAAAGUGUCGCGUAGGCGGCUUGGCAAGUCACCUUUUAAAUUCCAAUGCUCAACAUUGGAACUGGGGGUGAUACUGCCUUGCUAGAGUUACCUAUAGGGUGAACAGAACUGUGGGAGGAGUAGUGAAAUGCGUUGAUCCCCACGGGAAUACCAGAGGCGAAGGCGAUUCACUGAUAGGUAUCUGACGCUGAGGCACGAAAGCUAGGGGAGCGAAGCAGAUUAGAGACCUGCGUAGUCCUAGCCGUAAACGCAUGCUUGCUAGCUG